rnacentral:misc_RNA from 1 species
GACGGAGGGGGCUAGCGUUGUUCGGAAUGACUGGGCGUAAAGGGCGCGUAGGCGGUAUUUUAAGUGAGGCGUGAAAGCCCUGGGCUUAACCCAGGAGGUGCGUUUCAUACUGGAAUGCUAGAGUGCGAGAGAGGAAAGUGGAAUUCCUAGUGUAGAGGUGAAAUUCGUAGAUAUUAGGAAGAACACCAGAGGCGAAGGCGGCUUUCUGGCUCGCAACUGACGCUGAGGCGCGAAAGCGUGGGGAGCAAACAGG